UGAGGCAGCUUGGUUGGUCUCCGACUUUUCGCUGGUAGCCGAGGUUGUAAGCGUCCGGGAAGAUGCUGCAGAUUCCUUUGCAAAGUUAUUUGAGAGGCCCAGGAGACCCAUGAUGUAAUCUUCAGAAAAGAACAGAAGAAAAUGUCUGAGAGAAACACAGAGAGAAAGAACCAGUCCAGGACCUGCCUGUGGAAACAGCUAGGGAAAUAGGUCUCCCAAAUCACCAUCGAUGUGCAAAAAGGACAGUGCAAAAGAUGGAAUACUGGAUUUAUAUAAGGAGAAGGCCAAAUACCGUUCUUGAGAGGAUGAGAGUCCAAGCAGUUGUACUUAUU
rnacentral:lncRNA from 1 species